rnacentral:rRNA from 1 species
GAUGAACGCUGACAGAAUGCUUAACACAUGCAAGUCAACUUGAAUUUGGGUUUUUAACUUAGGUUUGGGUGGCGGACGGGUGAGUAACGCGUAAAGAACUUGCCUCACAGCUAGGGACAACAUUUGGAAACGAAUGCUAAUACCUAAUAUUAUGAUAAUAGGGCCUCCUAUAAUUAUGAAAGCUAUAAGCGCUGUGAGAGAGCUUUGCGUCCCAUUAGCUAGUUGGAGAGGUAACGGCUCACCAAGGCGAUGAUGGGUAGCCGGCCUGAGAGGGUGAUCGGCCAAAAGGGGACGGAGACACGGCCCGUAUCCCUCCGGGAGGCAGCGGUGGGGAAUAUGGGACAAUGGACCAAGAGUCUGAUCCAGCAAUUCUGUGUGGAAGAUGAAGUUUUUCGGAAUGUAAAGUGCUUUCAGUUGGGAAGAAAGAAAUGACGGUACCAACAGAAGAAGUGACGGCUAAAUACGUG